GACGAACGCUGGCGGCGUGCUUAACACAUGCAAGUCGAACGGAAAGGCCCUGCUUUUGUGGUGUGCUCGAGUGGCGAACGGGUGAGUAACACGUGAGUAACCUGCCCUUGACUUUGGGAUAACUUCAGGAAACUGGGGCUAAUACCGGAUAGGAGCUCCUGCUGCAUGGUGGGGGGUGGAAAGUUUCGGCGGGUGGGGAUGGACUCGCGGCUUAUCAGCUUGUUGGUGGGGUAGUGGCUUACCAAGGCUUUGACGGGUAGCCGGCCUGAGAGGGUGACCGGCCACAUUGGGACUGAGAUACGGCCCAGACUCCUACGGGAGGCAGCAGUGGGGAAUAUUGUACAAUGGGCGGAAGCCUGAUGCAGCAACGCCGCGUGCGUGAUGACGGCCUUCGGGUUGUAAACCGCUUUCGCCUGUGACGCAGCGUGAGUGACGGUAAUGGGUAAAGAAGCACCGGCUAACUACGUG
rnacentral:rRNA from 1 species